GACGAACGCUGGCGGCGUGCCUAAUACAUGCAAGUCGAACGCUUCUUUCCUCCCGAGUGCUUGCACUCAAUUGGAAAGAGGAGUGGCGGACGGGUGAGUAACACGUGGGUAACCUACCCAUCAGAGGGGGAUAACACUUGGAAACAGGUGCUAAUACCGCAUAACAGUUUAUGCCGCAUGGCAUAAGAGUGAAAGGCGCUUUCGGGUGUCGUUGAUGGAUGGACCCGCGGUGCAUUAGCUAGUUGGUGAGGUAACGGCUCACCAAGGCCACGAUGCAUAGCCGACCCGAGAGGGUGAUCGGCCACACUGGGACUGAGACACGGCCCAGACUCCUACGGGAGGCAGCAGUAGGGAAUCUUCGGCAAUGGACGAAAGUCUGACCGAGCAACGCCGCGUGAGUGAAGAAGGUUUUCGGAUCGUAAAACUCUGUUGUUAGAGAAGAACAAGGACGUUAGUAACUGAACGUCCCCUGACGGUAUCUAACCAGAAAGCCACGGCUAACUACGUG
rnacentral:rRNA from 1 species